rnacentral:lncRNA from 1 species
GCUUUUUAAGCAUGGAGACAUGUAAAUAGGACAAACAGCUGACAACUCUGCGAGUAACUAACCUCAUAGGCUACUUUACCAACACGGCUCAAGAUUCUAUACGGGCCAACAUAACGGGGACAGGGCUUUCCCUUUUUACCAAACCUCUUCACCCCUUUUAUAGGUGAAAUCUUCAAGUAUACCAAAUCACCAACCCCAAACUCAAGAUCUCUUCUUCUCACAUUGGCAUAAGACUUUUGAUGACUCUGAGCUGGCUUUAACCUUACUCUAAUCAACUUAACUUUCUCCAUAGCUUCAAACACUGUAUCAGGCC